rnacentral:rRNA from 2 species
UACGGGGGGUGCGAGCGUUGUCCGGAAUCACUGGGCGUAAAGGGCGCGUAGGUGGCCUGAUAAGGGUGUGGUGAAAGUCCGGGGCUCAACCCCGGAUCGGCCGUGCCGACUGUCAGGCUAGAGUGCUGUAGGGGCAGGCGGAAUUCCGGGUGUAGCGGUGGAAUGCGUAGAGAUCCGGAGGAAGACCGGUGGCGAAGGCGGCCUGCUGGGCAGAUACUGACACUGAGGCGCGACAGCGUGGGGAGCAAACAGG